CUUCAGCAUUCAAAUUCUUUCUAACUGCUUUACAUAUAGUUAUAACUAAGAACUGCUUUUCUGAAACAUUUGGAUUUCUGAUAACUUAUAUUCUUAAAAUGGCAGUUUUUACAUACUGACAAUUGAUUUUCCCCACAGCCAAAGAACCGAGUUUUAUGGAUUGUGUUGGGGAGCAAGUUGGGAUGAUGGUCGAAUGCCAUAAAAAGUUUAGCCUUCCCACACUCGACACCGAUUGCUUUUAGAUGACAUGCAUAAAGCUCGAUUCAACAGAUAGAAUGUAAGAAAAACACAAAAUCUGUUCAUCCACGCAGACGUUUUUCAGCAUAUCCACCAAAGAAAGAUCACAAAAUAUCCAACUUCACCACUGUUUCUCAGCUAUUACCAGCCAAAAUGCAAGACAAAAAGAUCACAUAAUUGACAUGACAACAAUUGAAUGCGGUAUAACCACAACAAAAAAUGAAAAAGGGAGGAAAAAGAUUGGAUUAUAAGUGAAAAAAAAAAUCUUCUUUUAAAUCAUACUAACUUAACCCCCAUUUUUCAAAAAUCAUUACCUUUACAUUCCUAAUCACCCUUUUCUUGAUUUAAUUUUGCCCAUUAAAAAAGCCAAAAAAACAGCUCCAACCCAAACAGAUAUUCACACCAAAACAUAAUACACUGCUACAACAAUUUAAACGAAAAUCAAAGCCAUAAACAGUGAAAAUCACAAAUUAAAACAAA
rnacentral:lncRNA from 1 species